rnacentral:tmRNA from 1 species
GGGGGCGAAACGGAUUCGACGGGGAUAUUGAAGCUUACUGUUGCAUGUCGAGUUUCUGUCAACUCGUACAAAUGACGGAACUUAAAUAUAAUCGCAGACGAUUAUAACUACGCACUGGCAGCUUAAUCUGCUGUGCCGUUCCACCAGUCCUUGCCUAUAGGACUGGAGCCGGAGCGUCGACUUCAUAGGCUGGUCCGCUGUGCACGCCUGAGGCAUAGGGGAUAAGAUUUUUUCAGGCUGGCAUCCGAUUAUCCUGGUUCCGGGUGAGACCCGGAUGCGAGAUUCCAAUCCCGGAACUAAGCAUGUAGAUACAGAAGGGGAGAGUUUCCGGACGCGGGUUCGACUCCCGCCGCCUCCACCA